UCAACAAGUAUUUCUGAGCACUCUGCAGGUGCCAAGAAGUUCAAGGUCUUGACCUCCAGGACGUGGCCAACCCAGCUGGUCUGACCACCUGGCUCUCUGCUUCCUGCUCCCUUCCCGGGACACCUCUGUAUUUGGAGACACUUUCUCUGUGGAAGGUUGCAGGGCAAGAAGGGGAAGAAAGAAUGGACAUCAGCUUCUUGGGGACUGGUUAUGCUGAAAGCAAUUGAUUUCAGAGUCUGCAGGUCUAUUUGCAGAUCUGGUCUGUGGCCACAGAGUCCCUGGCAUGCCUGCAGGGGAAGGAAUAUCACCAUGGUCAAGACCAAAGUGAGAAGGACCACGGAGGGGGACACUAAACACCUGAAGACUUUGAAAUGGCACAGUGGGUGCAAGAGGAACAUCGUGCCACAAAAUGCCAUCAGAUUGUCCCAGGCAGUCUGGACCAUGACCUCCAUGAGAGCAGGAACUUGUUCCACCUUGUUCUCUGCUGAUGCUCAGUACCUAAAACAACUGAUACACUGCAGAAACUCACAAGUAUUUAUUCACUGAAAGAAAAAGCUGAAACGGGGCCAGGGAUUUAGCUCAGUGGUUUCACCGCCUGCUGCGCAAGCACAAGGACCUGAGUUCAAUCCCUGGUACCAAAAAAAAAAAAAAAAAAGAUUCAAAGAAAAAGCUGAAAAAAAUAAAAGCGCUGAUUGGGAAUAAAUCAUCUUGCAUCUUAUCAAAACCUGAUCUAAUAGUUUUUUCAAUCAAUAGUGCUAGGGAAGUUGGACAUCCAUAUGGGGGGGAAAUGAUCCCUGAGGGCUACUUAACUUCCAUGCACAAAUAUUAACUCAAAAUGGGCCACAUAUCUAAGCAUUUGCACAAACUAAAAUACAAAACUUCUAGAAGAAAAUAAGAGAACUUCCUCAUGGCUUUGGGACAAGCAAAAAUCUAUCUAUCUAUAUAUCUAUCUCUCUA
rnacentral:lncRNA from 1 species